AGUCGAGCGGAGACAGUGAGUAGCUUGCUAUGAGCUGUUUUAGCGGCGGACGGGUGAGUAACGCGUGAGCAACCUUUCCCAGACAGGGGAAUAACACACCGAAAGGUGUACUAAUACCGCAUAAGACCACGGGAUCACAUGGUUCUGAGGUAAAAGAUUUAUCGGUUUGGGGUGGGCUCGCGUCCGAUUAGGUAGUUGGUGAGGUAACGGCCCACCAAGCCGACGAUCGGUAGCCGACCUGAGAGGGUGAUCGGCCACAUUGGGACUGAGACACGGCCCAAACUCCUACGGGAGGCAGCAGUGGGGAAUAUUGGGCAAUGGAGGAAACUCUGACCCAGCAACGCCGCGUGGAGGAAGAAGGUUUUCGGAUCGUAAACUCCUGUCCUUGGAGACGAGUAGAAGACGGUAUCCAAGGAGGAAGCCCCGGCUAACUACGUGCCAGCAGCCGCGGUAAUACGUAGGGGGCAAGCGUUGUCCGGAAUAAUUGGGCGUAAAGGGCGCGUAGGCGGCUCGGUAAGUCUGGAGUGAAAGUCCUGCUUUUAAGGUGGGAAUUGCUUUGGAUACUGUCGGGCUUGAGUGCAGGAGAGGUUAGUGGAAUUCCCAGUGUAGCGGUGAAAUGCGUAGAGAUUGGGAGGAACACCAGUGGCGAAGGCGACUAACUGGACUGUAACUGACGCUGAGGCGCGAAAGUGUGGGGAGCAAACAGGAUUAGAUACCCUGGUAGUCCACACUGUAAACGAUGAAUGCUAGGUGUAGGGGGUAUCGACCCCUUCUGUGCCGCAGUCAACACAAUAAGCAUUCCGCCUGGGGAGUACGGCCGCAAGGUUGCAACUCAAAGGAAUUGACGGA
rnacentral:rRNA from 1 species